rnacentral:miRNA from 1 species
GACGUCGAUAUUCGACGUCAUAAACACGAUCAACUUUUGUGUUUAUGACGUCUAUAUUCGACGUCAUAAACACGAUCAACUUUGGUGUUUAUGACGUCGAUAUUCGACGUCAUAAACACGAUCAACUUAGGUGUUUAUGACGUCGAUAUUCGACGCCAUAAACACGAUCAAAUUUGGUGCUUAUGACGUCGAUAUUCGACGUCAUAAACACGAUCAACUUUGGUGUUUAUGACGUCGAUAUUCGACGUC